UGACUGAUUGUCUGUCCCAGUGAAUGACUGAUUUAAAAAAGGACCUUUAAAAGCGGACAGCAGUAGUUUUGUAUGUGUAAGUGUGGUCGGGAGCAUGGUUAGUAGCAGAGACUCGCCCUCCUUGAAGGAGACUUUGGCAGCUGUGGGUCAGAGUGCACGUAAGAGUUUUUCCAGGAAAAUUCGAAGGCUUUCUCCAAGAUGACCUCUGUGUUUUUCCUUUGGGACCUGGGACUAAAGGAAUUUUACAUUUGGGUUUUCUGUGGACAGACAGACAAUGAAAAACCUUUGAGUCUGUAGAGCGCGGGAGGCUUAGAUGCUGUCACUAAGAAUGUGCUUUUCUCUAGAUGCUGGAUGAGGAGGACACUGACAAAGACGGGAUGAGUUUGGAGGUCGACACUCCAGUGACGAACCAUCGGGGUGACGACGACGAUGACGAAGAAGAUCUCCCCGAGAUAGUGCUGGAUGACGUGCCUGCGGUGAGGGUGGCGGGACGGCCUCCAUUCGCUCCGCGGGUGGCCUUCAUGGUGAACAAAACACAUGACCCCGAGUACCCGAGGCGGAAGGUGUCCGGCAUCAGUGCUCAGAAAGUUGUUCCACCUUCCACCAAGAUGCUGGAUGAGGAGGACACUGACAAAGACGGGAUGAGUUUGGAGGUCGACACUCCAGUGACGAACCAUCGGGGUGACGACGACGAUGACGAAGAAGAGAGACGCGUCAGCUUCGUGGAGGACAAAGGCCACCCCCUCUGCAGAGCUUCUCUGCGUUCAUGCAUUCUCCCUUGACCACCGCUGCUCCCAAGUUGGCUCAAUGUCCCCGUUGCUCAGGUGGAGAGGGUGCCGAGCCAGGUGGCCCAAGCCCUUGACCUCCUACGUGGAAAAGCCAAAGGGGGACCCAGGCCGGGUUCCCCAUGGGGUUGCUCUGGACCCCUGACCUGUGCCUCUCCCUCAGCAGGGAGUCCUCAGUCAUGGAGCCCUGAGGGGCGAGGGCCCCUGUCCCCCGUCCAUGGUUGGGUGUAGCAGGGACUCCAGAGGUCCUGUAACACCUGCCCAUCUCUAGAAGGUGGGCGGUCGGCGCUGGUGUCUUUGCUUCAACUUGGCCAAAAGAGAUCGGGCUCGGGGGUGUGUUUUCUCGUGUUGGAUGGUGUCACGUCAAGGCUUCCAACUGACCACCCUAGGUGGCACACACCCGGGGGCUGUUGCACAUAAGAGCUCAGCGUGAAACCCCAUCGUCAGCCUGGUGUC
rnacentral:lncRNA from 1 species